AAAGGAAAAGUCUAAGGCCAGCAACUUUAUUAAAUCUUGGCCAGCAUGUAACCAGCAAAAAAAAAGUGAAUCAUUGGACUCACACCAUUAAAAUCAUUAUUGAUGGUUAUUUGAUUGCUACAAAUCGUAAAAAUUGUUGGUCCUCUAGCACUCCACUUAUUGAAAAUUUUAAAAUCUUACCUUUUAAAUAAAAACUCUCAUUUUACUAUUUUUAAAAAGUACUCUUAAAUAGUAUGUUAGCAAAAUCCUUUUUUUACUAUGCAGACUAAUAAAUAUUAAAAAGAGAAUUCUUCAUGGAUAUAUUAAAGGAGCAACAACAAUGUCUACCAUUAUUAACCUUUUAUAAAUACCAAGCGGGGCAAAUUCAUCGUUAUAACCUUUCAUAGCUAUUAGGGGUGUUGAUGACAAUUCAAGUGGUUGGAGAUGAGAGGUGUGAAGAUGUUUGGUAUGACGAAAGUUGCAAAGAUGGAAACUCCUAUUAUUGUAUCGUAGAUUGCAUCACCAAAUAUGGUUUCACAGCUGGUGCAGAUUGCAGAGAUUCUUUUUGUGCAUGCACCCAUAAAUGUUUGUCCUAUUAAUUAUUGAGAAGAAACUCAAUAUUUGAAUUGUAUUAUGUGAUGAGUGUGAUUAUAAAGUGUGAAACUGUGAAAGUGUGAGGUUAUUAAUUUAUCAGGGGAUUAUUUUGUUAAAUUCUAUACACAAGAAUAGAAGUUUUUUGUUAACUGAGUUCACAA